rnacentral:rRNA from 1 species
UACGUAGGGUGCAAGCGUUGUCCGGAAUUAUUGGGCGUAAAGAGCUCGUAGGCGGUUUGGUAAGUCGGAUGUGAAAUCUCCAGGCUCAACCUGGAGGGGUCAUUCGAGACUGCUAUGACUAGAGUUCGGUAGAGGAGUGUGGAAUUCCUGGUGGAGCGGUGAAAUGCGCAGAUAUCAGGAGGAACACCCGUAGCGAAGGCGGCACUCUGGGCCGAUACUGACGCUGAGGAGCGAAAGCGUGGGGAGCGAACAGG